UUGUGCAGGAAAACCCCCCUGCUAGUGUUCUCUCCGGUCUCUUUGGUUUGAACUCUGUGCUAGGGCAGUAUCUAUUCUUUACCUCUGCGCUGAAGGACCUUUCCUUGUAUGUAUAUUCAGAAAUACUGUGUACUG
rnacentral:snoRNA from 1 species